rnacentral:rRNA from 1 species
CCUACGGGAGGCAGCAGUGAGGAAUAUUGGUCAAUGGACGAGAGUCUGAACCAGCCAAGUAGCGUGAAGGAUGACUGCCCUAUGGGUUGUAAACUUCUUUUAUAUGGGAAUAAAAUGUUCCACGUGUGGGAUUUUGUAUGUACCAUAUGAAUAAGGAUCGGCUAACUCCGUGCCAGCAGCCGCGGUAAUACGGAGGAACCGAGCGUUAUCCGGAUUUAUUGGGUUUAAAGGGAGCGUAGGUGGAUUGUUAAGUCAGUUGUGAAAGUUUGCGGCUCAACCGUAAAAUUGCAGUUGAAACUGACAGUCUUGAGUACAGUAGAGGUGGGCGGAAUUCGUGGUGUAGCGGUGAAAUGCUUAGAUAUCACGAAGAACUCCGAUUGCGAAGGCAGUUCACUGGACUGCAACUGACACUGAGGCUCGAAAGUGUGGGUAUCAAACAGGAUUAGAUACCCCAGUAGUC